rnacentral:lncRNA from 1 species
GGGCAGAUCUCAGAGCAAGAUGAUGUGCAGUUGUUUCAAGAAUUCUAUCAUUACACCAAUAUAUCAUUGGUAAUUAAAAUGUUUUUAAUCCUCCAUCUCAUACUAUGAGUCAAGAGGAUACUGGAAACCGUCAGCAUUACCAUCACUAUAACUAUUAAAGGCCGUACAGAAUUCGCCUUUAGAUUUUAUGCCACUUGCAACCCAAUAAAGUUUACUUUGAACAAGUGUAAACUUUCAAAAGGGGGCCAUUUUUUUACAAAAUUAUUCAACCCAGAAGCAGAAACGGUCCAAAGGCGGAACUAAAUAA